rnacentral:rRNA from 1 species
GGAAUCUUGCGCAAUGGGCGAAAGCCUGACGCAGCAACGCCGCGUGUGGGAUGAAGGCUCUAGAGUUGUAAACCACUUUCAGCAGGGACGAAAUUGACGGUACCUGCAGAAGAAGUCCCGGCCAACUACGUGCCAGCAGCCGCGGUAAGACGUAGGGGACAAGCGUUGUCCGGAUUUAUUGGGCGUAAAGAGCUCGUAGGCGGUUCCGUAAGUCGGAUGUGAAAACCCAAGGCUCAACCUUGGGACGCCAUUCGAUACUGCGGUGACUGGAGUUCGGUAGAGGAGUGUGGAAUUUCUGGUGUAGCGGUGAAAUGCAUAGAUAUCAGAAGGAACACCAACGGCGAAGGCAGCACUCUGGGCCGAUACUGACGCUGAGGAGCGAAAGCGUGGGGAGCAAAC